GUCGCCUUGGUCAAGUGGUCAAGACGUAGCCCUCUCACGGCUGAAUCAGGGGUUCGACUCCCCUAGGCGAUACCA
rnacentral:tRNA from 10 species